rnacentral:rRNA from 1 species
AGAUUGAACGCUGGCGGCAGGCCUAACACAUGCAAGUCGAGCGGUAGAGAGGUGCUUGCAUCUCUUGAGAGCGGCGGACGGGUGAGUAAUGCCUAGGAAUCUGCCUAGUGGUGGGGGAUAACGUUCGGAAACGGACGCUAAUACCGCAUACGUCCUACGGGAGAAAGUGGGGGAUCUUCGGACCUCACGCUAUCAGAUGAGCCUAGGUCGGAUUAGCUAGUUGGUAGGUAAAGGCCUACCAAGGCUACGAUCCGUAACUGGUCUGAGAGGAUGAUCAGUCACACUGGAACUGAGACACGGUCCAGACUCCUACGGGAGCAGCAAGUGGGGGAAUAGUUAGGACAA